rnacentral:pre_miRNA from 1 species
AUUGCAGCUACCUCCUUGCACACUUAGAUCACACAUGUGGGGAAGCAGCUGCCAUGC